UUUCCGGGCAGGAGCCGGGCCCCGCGCUCAAUGAAAGAAAUUCCGCUACUCUCAUUGGCCCGGGGCUGGGCGCCAGGUCCCGCGGGGCCUAGGGGCGCCGGCGCGCGGGACUCCCUCGGGUGCCCACGCUCGGGGUUGGCGGUGAAAGUGCGCGGCGGGGCCACCCCAGGCUGCCCGGGUCCGUGUGCGCGGGCGGAGGGCGCAGUAUGCUGAGAGAGGCCAGGAGUCUCAACCUAGACCCAGAUAGGGAAACUGAGGCACAGGAGCUUGUCCAUUUACUUCACCUUUGAAAAGCGGGCAGUGGUGAGAGUGCAAAUGAGCCCAAACAAGCAGCAUACACCAGCAAGUGUGCCCACCCCAGCAGCUGGGAGUCGUAUAUUCCUAGGUCCAGGAGACACUUGUGCCCUGGCUGCCUUCUCCUCUGGGUACAAAAUCAGCCAAAAUGUGCCCUCUGUUCUUGUUUCCUGGGAGAUGCAGCCCUGAGUGUGAACAUGCUGCCUACCCUGAGAGCCGUGAACCGGGAGUCCCGGUGGGCAGACUCUGCACUGAGCCCAGGUGGCAGAGAUGAGACUUGAACCCAGGGCCGCUUGAGAAACCAGGCCCAGCCUGAGGCUCCUACAUUCGGCGGCCCAGCAACAUCUCUUCAUCCCUCCUUCCUCCUUCCCUGAGCUGACAGUGCUCACACCCAUCCAAGAGGCCAGAGCCAGGCAUCGUGGCGAGCGCCUGUCAUUCCAGCACUUGGGAGGUUGAAGCAGGAGGAUUGCUGUGAGUUCGAAGCCUACUUGGACUCCAUAGUGAGAUCAUGUCUCUGGAAAAUUUGUUUAAAAAAUGCUAAUAAGAGGAAAGAGAUUAGUACACUUUGCUUCAUGAACAUGAUAUCGAUUUAUAAAUAAAAUUGCGGCCUACCAUCCAGCUGCUCAAAAAGACAUGGGCAACCUUGAUGGAGAAGAUGGAUACAUAAAGUGAAACGAAACAAUGCAGACAAUUUUUGCAUCCAUUUCUUAAAAAGUAUAUAUGCUUGGAAAGACACACAAUAAGCUGGUGAAGGUGGGUUUCUCUGGAGGGGUCCUGGGAAGCCAGAUGCUGGUGCAUUAUCUUUUGUCUCUGUGCUCACUGGAGUUUUAUUUGCUUUUUAAAAUGUAUUCUAUCCACUAGAUCAGACUUGUACCUGAGACCAAAUCUAAACAGUAUCAAAGGCUCAGUAAAAAGGUGUCUCCUGGCUGGGUAUGGUGGUGCGCACCUGUGAUCCCAGUACUCUGGGGGGUAAAGCAGGAGCAUCUCAAGUUCAAGCCCAGCCUGGGCAACUUAACAACUCUAUGAGAGCUUGUCUCAAAAAAAAUUUUUUUUAAAAGGCUGGACUUCAAUCUCCAGGGCUGCAAAAACAAAAACAAAAAAAGAGGGAUCAGAGUCCCUUGCAGUUGAAGAGGCCCUUUAAAGACUCUAUAUCCAAAACCUCCAGUGUAGAGUGGGAACUAGGUCUAUCCCUGUCAGUGCAGUGUGCACCCAGCUCUAAACACAAGCAAGUGGGAAUGCCCUGUAACACUCAUCUGGGGCUAAAGGCAGUAGAAACCCAGGCAAGCUGCCUGGAAGAGGGACCUCUUUGAGCCAGGCCUGGGUGGAGAGAACAGGCAAGGUGCGGAGAAAAUUGGGAGCCCAUGGUGGGGAGCAGCUUCUGGGAGCCUAGCAUGGGGGCCCUGCAAGGCCCUGCAAGGCACUGCCCCAGCCUCAUGCUGCAGCAGGGCAUCCCAUGCUGCAAUGGCCGACCAUUCUCCCCAGUAAGGUGGUGCUGUUUGGGGGGUCCCAGACAGGUGAAGUGAAACAGAUGGUGGAUGAUCCCUGUCUGACAUCAAUAAUGUCAGCAAUUAAGGAUUUCGAGUGAACAGAUGGUGGUUGCCACUCGCUGUAUUGCUGCUUGUCGAAUAGAACUUGAACUUGUUAAAAAUGAGCCCUGGCUACAAAAGAAGGGCAGGGUCCUUCUGAAUGCAGUACUGCGGGUUCUGAGUCCCUUCUGCUUGGGCAGCCAAAUGCCAGCCACAGUGGACCAGACUGGGAGAUAUGCAUGGAAAUCAGCUGUCUGUCUGUCUGUUUUUAGACCCAAGGUCUCAUGGAAUAGCCCAGGCUGGCCUCAAACUCACAGAUUCUCCUGCUUCAGCCUCCCAGUUACUGCUAUCAGCUGUCCAGGGCAGGGAGGACAGUUGCAUUUUUCAACAUUCUUGCUUGCAUGACAGCAAAGGGUGACACAUUUUUAUAUAUCGCUUCCUUUUUCUUUUGUGAAACAUACCACAUGCUUUUGCCUGAUCAGAGUCACGAGACUGCCCCUAUCCUCCUUUGUACUUGGCAUAGCCCUGUGACUACUUGGGCCAGUAAUACAUGAACAGAAGUACUGUGUGAGACUUCUGGGAAGACUGCAUAACAGGAGUUGCCUGGGAAGCAUUUUCCUUUGACUUUCAAUCCUUCCUUCUCUAGUCUAGAAUAUGGAUGUGAUGGCUGGAACCCUGGAAGCCAUCAGGAACCAUGAAAUGACCUUUGCAGAUACAAGGCAUACACUGAGGGAUGGAGAGCAUCAACAGAGAGGAGCCCAAGUCACUGAUGCCUCCUUCAAUCCAAAAUGCCAGGCCUGGAUCACCUGCCUAUUUGAGUGUGUUUGCCUGCCUUGCUGACCUCUAGUGGAAAGAAGGAUAUUAAAAGGAACCUUGAAAGUA